rnacentral:rRNA from 1 species
CCUACGGGAGGCAGCAGUGAGGAAUAUUGGUCAAUGGACGAGAGUCUGAACCAGCCAAGUAGCGUGAAGGAUGACUGCCCUAUGGGUUGUAAACUUCUUUUAUAUGGGAAUAAAAUGUUCCACGUGUGGGAUUUUGUAUGUACCAUAUGAAUAAGGAUCGGCUAACUCCGUGCCAGCAGCCGCGGUAAUACGGAGGAUCCGAGCGUUAUCCGGAUUUAUUGGGGUUAAAGGGAGCGUAGGUGGAGUGUUAAGUCAUUUGUGAAAGUUUGCGGCUCAACCGUAAAAUUGCAGUUGAAACUGGCAGUCUUGAGUACAGUAGAGGUGAGCGGAAUUCGUGGUGUAGCGGUGAAAUGCUUAGAUAUCACGAAGAACUCCGAUUGCGAAGGCAGUUCACUGGACUGCAACUGACACUGAGGCUCGAAAGUGUGGGUAUCAAACAGGAUUAGAUACCCUAGUAGUC